GGAAGGAUCAUUACUGAGUCGUCGACACGAGUUGUUGCUGGUCCCCACAUGGGGGCAUGUGCACGCUCUGUUUACACAUCCACUCACACCUGUGCACCCUCUGUAGUUCUAUGGUCUGGGGGACCCUGUCUUCCUUCUGUGGUUCUGCAUCUUUACACACACACUGUAAUAAAGUCAUAUGGAAUGUACACCGCGUUUAACGCAAUACAAUACAACUUUCAGCAACGGAUCUCUUGGCUCUCGCAUCGAUGAAGAACGCAGCGAAAUGCGAUAAGUAAUGUGAAUUGCAGAAUUCAGUGAAUCAUCGAAUCUUUGAACGCACCUUGCGCCCCUUGGAUAUUCCGAUGGGCAUGCCUGUUUGAGUAUCAUGAACACCUCAACUCUCAUGGUUUGCCAUGAUGAGCUUGGACUUUGGGGGUUUUGCUGGCCUAUGGUCAGCUCCUCUCAAAUAAA
rnacentral:misc_RNA from 1 species